rnacentral:rRNA from 1 species
AGCAGCCGCGGUAAUUCCAGCUCCAAUAGCGUAUAUUAAAGUUGUUGCAGUUAAAAAAGACUCGUAGUUGAAUUUCGGGAUCAGUACGCCGGUCGUGCCUUCGGUAUGUACUGGUGUCACUGAUUCCUCCCUUCUGACGAACCGUUAUGCCAUUUAUUUGGUGUGGCGGGGAAUCAGGACUGUUACUUUGAAAAAAAUUAGAGUAGUUUAAAGCAGGCUCGCGCUUGAAUACAUUAGCAUGGAAUAAUGAAAUAGGACGUUUGAUUCUAUUUUGUUGGUUUCUAGGAUCGACGUAAUGAUUAAUAGGGAUAGUUGGGGGCAUUAGUAUUCAAUUGUCAGAGGUGAAAUUCUUGGAUUUAUUGAAGACUAACUACUGCGAAAGCAUUUGCCAAGGAUGUUUUCAUUAAUCAAGAACGAAAGUUAGGGGAUCGAAGACGAUCAGAUACCGUCGUAGUCUUAACCAUAAACUAUAGCCGACUAGGGAUCGGAUGAUGUUAAUUUUUAAUGACUCAUUCGGCGC